GGGGUGGUUUGGGAGCAGCAGGGCUUUGUGAUAACCCCAAAGACCCCUCCUCUUUCCACCCCCUGCUGCCUCCUCCCUUCCCGCGGGUGUUCCGCAUUAUGGAGCAAGCCAAGAGGAAGUCCACCAGACGGCUCCGGAGGAUGUCUUCCUGAGCCUCACCUGCCCGAGGCCCCCCACCCGAAGGGAAAGCAGACAAGGACAAGCAAAACCAGCAGGCUCCCGGCCCCCCUCUCCUCCUUCGGCUCCAUUUCCCUCCCAGCCCUCCUCCCAGCCUCCCACCCCACCCCGCUCUGGGCCUCCCUCCCAGCAUCCCUCACGGCUCCCCUCAAAGUCUGCCUUGCUGUAAGAAAGAGCUGUGGUGCCAGGUUAGCACAGGUGCGCACAGCCUGCCCUGGGCUGCAGGGGGUACGGGGCUGGAGGGGUGGGUGUGGCUCUCUGCAGAUUGAGGCCACUCACCUUCGAGACCUGCCGGAGAACCCCCGUGUGUUUCUGUGGAGAAGGGUCCCCUGGAGUCCCGCCUGGGUGGCCCGUGGUCUCAUUGAGCCCUGGCCAUGGAAGCAGCCUCAGAGGAACACCUGCCAUGUCCUGUCAAGGAGAAGCCCUGUGGGUGACCGAAGCGGUGAUGAAGCUGUACUUAUGAAGGUUCCAGGAAGGCCACAACGACCGUCCCUGCCCCCACGCCCUGCCUCCGCUCACAGCAGCGCAGCAUCACGGUGUGGUCGUGUCCCUGGCUGCCACACCCACUCCAUCUGUUUUCCGUGUGGCUGCUCUGAGGCAUCUGCCAGCGUCCUCUGCCCCCCGCUCCCCACCCACUGAGCCUGGUUCUCCCUGUCCCCCGGGACCCUGGUCUGCCUCUUCCAAAGGCUCCUCUUCCUUCUCCCUGCCUGGUGGGUCCCUCAGCCCCAAGCCCGCCUCUCUCCCUCACUCUCCCCUCUGCACCUGCCACCCUUGGGUUUCUCUCUCAUUCACCCCCCCCCCCCCGGCUUUCAACUGGCAUCUUAUUCCAGCCAGGAACUGCCCUGAGCUCCCAACAAUCUAGACUUUUCCAAUGAGUUCUCUCACCCUCCUGAAGCCCAAAGGGAAAUGGGAUCUUCUCCCACCCUCUGGACACAGCUCGUCAGCCCACCAGCUCUGGGGGCUCUUACUGCCAGGGUGGUAGGCAAGGGAAGGCAUGGCUGCAGCAUUGUCAAGAGAAGAACACCUAUUUCCUGAAAAAUAGAAAACUUUGGGAGUUCCCGUCAUGCUUUAGCAGAAACAAAUCUCACUAGUAUCCAUGAGGAUGCAGGUUCGAUCCGUGGCCUGGCUCAGUGGGUUAAGAAUCCUGCAAUGCUGUGGCUGUGGUGUAGGCGGCAGACACAGCUCGGAUCCCUGCAUUGCUGUGGCUGUGGUGUAGGCCGGUGACUACAGCUCCGAUUGGAGCUCCAAUUCGACGCCUAGCCUGGGAACCUCCAUAGGAUGGGUGUGGCCCUAAAAAAAAAAAGAAAACUUUGUAAAUAAAUACAAGUGAUAAAGACA
rnacentral:lncRNA from 1 species